rnacentral:rRNA from 1 species
AUUGAACGCUGGCGGCAGGCCUAACACAUGCAAGUCGAGCGAGUGGCGGACGGGUGAGUAAUGUAUGGGGAUCUGCCCGAUAGAGGGGGAUAACUACUGGAAACGGUGGCUAAUACCGCAUACCAUCGGAUGUGCCCAUAUGGGAUUAGCUAGUAGGUGGGGUAACGGCUCACCUAGGCGACGAUCCCUAGCUGGUCUGAGAGGAUGAUCAGCAACACGGGGACUGAGACACGGCCCAGACUCCGACGGGAGGCAGCAGUGGGGAAUAUUGCACAAUGGGCGCAAGCCGGAUGCAGCCAUGCCGCGGGUAUGAAGAAGGCCUUAGGGUUGUAAAGUACUUUCAGCGGGGAGGCGUUACCCGCAGAAGAAGCACCGGCUAACUCCGUGCCAGCCGCCGCGGUAAUUC